CCUGGAUUCAGCGGCGGACGGGUGAGUAAUGCCUAGGAAUCUGCCUGGUAGUGGGGGAUAACGUCCGGAAACGGGCGCUAAUACCGCAUACGUCCUGAGGGAGAAAGUGGGGGAUCUUCGGACCUCACGCUAUCAGAUGAGCCUAGGUCGGAUUAGCUAGUUGGUGGGGUAAAGGCCUACCAAGGCGACGAUCCGUAACUGGUCUGAGAGGAUGAUCAGUCACACUGGAACUGAGACACGGUCCAGACUCCUACGGGAGGCAGCAGUGGGGAAUAUUGGACAAUGGGCGAAAGCCUGAUCCAGCCAUGCCGCGUGUGUGAAGAAGGUCUUCGGAUUGUAAAGCACUUUAAGUUGGGAGGAAGGGCAGUAAGUUAAUACCUUGCUGUUUUGACGUUACCAACAGAAUAAGCACCGGCUAACUUCGUGCCAGCAGCCGCGGUAAUACGAAGGGUGCGAGCGUUAAUCGGAAUUACUGGGCGUAAAGCGCGCGUACGUGGUUCACCAAGUUGGAUGUGAAAUCCCCGGGCUCAACCUGGGAACUGCAUCCCAAACUACUGAGCUAUAGUACGGUAGAGGGUGGUGGAAUUUCCUGUGGAGCGCUGAGAUGCGUACAUAUACGAUGGAGCACCGCUGGCGAAGGCGACCACCUGCGGUGAGACUGACACUCAUUCGCGCCAACGUGUGGGGCAAACACGAGGAG
rnacentral:rRNA from 1 species